UUAUUAUUGAUUAAAUUGAACUUUACUAAACUCUCAUCAAUUUCACUUCAGAAAUUUUCAUUAGACAUCUCACAUUGUACCAUAGUUUGGCGUGCUUUCUUUCGUUAAAAGUGUGGGUUAUCUGUACAUAACCCACACUUUUCUUCAAACCCCGCCCACAUUCUCAAAAGAAAAAAACAACAACAUCACUGUCCACUGUAUGAAGUUCCUUCAGAUCAAAAUUGCACAUAUCAAACAUGGAUAACUUACUCAGACGAAGUUCUCCAAAUACAUUAUAGAUAUUCGCACUGAAUCUCACUUAAACCUUGAUACAAGAUAAUAUUGUCAAUGGUUUCGUCCCAACCACUUUCUAUUUCCACAUUCUCCUCAAGUCAAGAAACACAUGUACGUAGAAAUACGGGUAGCAUUUAUAAAGAGUUUUAUAAAAGACCCAGUCACGUGAUAAGAAUGCGUUUGAGAGAUAAACUUGUUUAGCGGACAGAGUGAAUCAGACUUGUGUUUCUUUUAUGGUUUCGCAUCUUACAAUUCUUAAUUUUUUCUCUCUUAUGUUUUACCUUCUUUUUAAAUCUAUUUUAUAUACAUGUAAAUGUUUUUCCAGCCAAUUUAGUCAAAAUAUGUAUUAAAAUGAAGGAUAUCAAAUAGGAUUUUCAAAAGAGUAACCACCAUCAUCAGUUGAAUAUAUUGCUAAAUUUUUAAACAGAAAAAUGCAUGAAUAUAGGUUCUAAGAAUUUUAUUUGAAUUUUUAAAUUUCAAUUCUUAAAGCCAAUGCCGGUACUAAAAGUCGACGAAUGCGUUAAAUAAAAAAUAAAUGUUAAACGCAGUAUUAAGUCUUCCCCGGAAGACAUGUGUCGCCUGCUAGUUCAUUCUAUAUGUAAUAUAUCAUGUAUAAUGUUGAAAAAGUAAAUUAUUGAAAUGGUUUUUGUCACUAAACAGGAAGUUGAUAAGCGACAGAUUCGAAAAUGUCUUACACAAUACAGUUGGCCACACUGAUGCUCUGUGCCAAAUAUCAGGGAGUUGCCCCAUGUGGUUCUUGAGAAAACUGUGACAGAAAUUUUUUUGCUGUAAAAAAUUCUAAGUCCCGGCAAACAGGAAGUUGAUAAGCGACAGAUUCGAAAAUGUCUUACACAAUACAGUUGGCCACAGUGAUGCUCUGUGCCAAAUAUCAGGAAGUUGCCCCAUGUGGUUCUUGAGAAAACUGUGACAGAAUUUUUUUUGCUGUAAAAAAUUCUAAGUCCCGGCAAACAGGAAGUUGAUAAGCGACAGAUUCGAAAAUGUCUUACACAAUACAGUUGGCCACAGUGAUGCUCUGUGCCAAAUAUCAGGGAGUUGCCCCAUGUGGUUCUUGAGAAAACUGUGACAAAUUUUUUUGCUGUAAAAAAUUCUAAGUCCCGGCAAACAGGAAGUUGAUAAGCGACAGAUUCGAAAAUGUCUUACACAAUACAGUUGGCCACAGUGAUGCUCUGUGCCAAAUAUCAGGGAGUUGCCCCAUGUGGUUCUUGAGAAAACUGUGACAGAAAUUUUUUGUGACGACGACGACGCCGCCAGACGACGACGGAUAGUGAUCCCUAUAUGUCGCCACUGCGUAACGCAGGCGACACAAUAAAAAUAUCAAAACCAACAGUCCAAACAUUUAUAUGUACUUUAAAAACGGCUUUUUAAAAACAAUUAAUGAACAUACAAUUUUCGGUGAUAGAAAGUAAUUAUGAUAGAAAUAUAUGGUGUACAAAGUGUAAUUUAAAUACAUAACAAUUGGCAUCAUAUUGUAAACAGGUGACCGCGCUUCCGAAAGCUAUAAUAAAAUAUAACGAAUAAUAGUAAACUAUGGUACAAGUCACUUACCCCAUAUAAUAUUGUUGAUUAUGUGCAGAUACCCAAUGGGCGUGGUCAUAAUGACACGAGGGAGCGUAGCUCCCGAGUACAGAUACCCAUCAGGUAUCUGUACAUAACCAACAAUAUCAUAUGGGGUAACUACUACAAGUGUCCACAUGUACCAUUCAUGGCAUAAUCAUGUUAUUUGAUUCGCAGAUCUUUAAUAUACAGUUUAUUCCGUCUCCCCCACCACCAUUCAACACGGUUGUUUUAAUUUAUACUUAUUUCACCUGUGCCAUAUGCAAAUGUUUGAAAAUUUGCAUAUUCCUAUAGUAAUUUAACGGAAUAAACCAAAUUUAAAGAGCAAAUAACUCUUACACUUUAUCGCGAAUCAAAUAACAUGAUAAUGCCCCAUUCAUCUGUUUGUCAAUCUACAUUUGAGGUCAGUCCAUUCAUAUCACACAAAGAAAACUUCCAGAAUACUCUUCUAUUGUUACUGUUUCUGACCAAUAGAAUUCUUGUUAUUCUAACUAAACCAUUCAGGUUCAGUCUUCUAUUGUUUUGUUAUUCUAUUUAUAGUUUUCAGGGUUGGUUAGUGCACAUUUACCUAGCAGUGUAUUCCUAUUCAGCUUAUAACCAUGGAAAUAAAAUAAGAUGGGGAGAUAUAUUAGAAAUGGAAAAGACAUUUCUGAAGAAACAAGCAAAGAAAUUUUUAACCUAUACAAUGAGAGAAAUUCUUUUCCUGAAAUAAUCAGUAAAACUGGAGUGUUAAAUUCUUUUAUUUACAGGGUUGUCAAUCAGACUGAGAAAACAAAGUUGUCAAUUCUUUGUCAUACCUGAGUAACUUUGUGACCUAAAUUCAGACCAAAUGUGAUACUUUGCUGACCAAAUUGUAAAGUCUAUUGAUCAAUCCAGCAGGCAAUUGAAAACUCAACUGGUCUUUUGUAAUUCGCUGUAAAAGAUAUGACUGAUUUGGACCCAUCCUAGAGUCAAAACCCUGGGUUGUGAAAUUCACCAUUUUUUUGUACAUCUUUUUCUGCUAUUCCUUAGUAUGCAUUUAGAUUUAUAUAGCAUCAGCAAACUUACACAUAAACACUUUAUACUAAGUUUGGCCCCACCCUGGGGUCAGAACCCCUACCCCGGGGAUCAUGAAAUUCACAAUUUUGGUAGAAGCCUUCCUGCUCUACAUCACUAUGCAUUUAGUUUUUCUUAAACAUGUGCAGUUCUAGAGAAGAAGAUUUUUUUAAAUUGGUCAAUUUUGGGCAGUUUUUGCCAGCUGUCUCCAAGAUUCCAGGGGUGCAGGAAUCCUGAAAUGUACAAUUUAUGCCCCCCUUGUCCCAAAGAUGCUCCAUACCAAAUUUGAAAAGAAUUGGUAUAGUAGUUAUCAAGAAGAAGUUAAAAAUGUCUAUUGUUUACACAUUUCAUAACUGCACAUUUUGGCCCCACCCUAAUACCAAAAUCCCUACCCCUGGGAUCAUCAAAUUUAUAAUUUUGGUAAAGGACUACCUGCUCUUUCUAAAUAUCCAUUUAGUUUGAAUUUAGUUAUCAAUAGUACUAAAGAAGAUGUUAUUUAAGUGUUUUACACAUAAACACGAUAUAGCAAGUUUGGCCCCAUCCUAGGGUCAGAACCCCUACCCCGGUUAUCAUGAAAUUUACAAUUUUGGUAGAGGCCUUCCUGUUCUACAUCACUAUCCAUUUAGUUUUUCUUAAACAUGUGUGGUUCUUCAGAAGAUUUUUGAAAAUUGGUCAAUUUUGGGCAAUUUUUGCCCAGCCCCUAAGGCCCCAGGGGUGCUGGAGUCCUGAAAUUUACAAUUCAUGUCCCCCUUGUCCCAAAGAUGCUUCAUACCAAAUUUGAAAAGAUUGGAAUGGUAGUUAUCAAGAAAAAGUUCAAAAUAUGUUCAAUUGUUAACGAAUGACGGACGACAACGGACAACAACCAAUUGCAAUAGGGUCACCUGAGUUUACUCAGGUGACCUAAAAAAUUGCAUACUAGACUCUACCUCAAUUUCCUUUUCACAUUUCUUGAUUAAAUUUAUUAUACAAAUUGUUGGGGAAAUAAAAAGCCAAGAAGAAAGGGAGGAGCACAACCUUCGACCAGGGGAAGAAAGAGGAGGAUCCCCGCUGCGAAGAAGCCCAAGCGUAUUGAUGAUGAUCAGGGCCAGUUCAUGGGUGUUAACGACACCCCUUCACUACGCUUUACUGACGAACAGAUGCAGUAGAUCACAGAAGCGAUUUCUGCGGGCAUGGCAGCCAGCAUAACCAAGGCUCCCAUCCCAGUCCAGGCCAUGGACGCAAGUUUGAAUUGAGCUGGGAUACAAUGUGCCCAAUAAAAUCAAAGUUGUGUCCAAUAAAAUCAAAUUUCUAAUGGAUUUUGGCUAGAUUUGUCAAUCUAGCCAAAUUGAUGCAUAAUUACCCAGACCCCAAAUGAUGAAACCCAAUACAUAUCACUUCAAGAUGGUAACCUAGCAAUGACCAAAAAAUCUAAGCUCAAAUCCAUCACAGAUACAAUUGUAUUGAAGUCUGGAUGGAUUUAUUCCUUGUUUACUCAUCAAUCUUUGCCACUGUGCAUCCAGAAUGCACCACUUCUUUAAUUAAAGGGAAAGGCAACCCCAACCACAUUGUUGCUUUUAUCAAUAAAGUAUUACUUACUGAUAUUGUAAAUGACAGUCUUUAACAAGAAAAAUCCUUGCUUAACAAUUAAAUCAAUAUUAAUAUAUCUUAUAUUUCAAAUUAAGAGAGUGGCCAUUGAAGUUUAAUUGAUGACGUCACACCAUCGGUUCCGGUUUAUUUCAUCAGCAGCACUGUAAACAUGACAAGUCACGAACAGUUAACUUUGAAGCCGUAUAGAUUUGAGCCCGUUCUUUCACAAGAACAAAUUAAGAAAAGAAGACGUUCAGUCGAGUCGCAGACCAGGCAGACGGUAUUUGGUUCUUCAUACAAAUGUCUUGAACCUCAAAUUGUCAUUACGCAAAUGAUGGAUCCACAGUUUACAUAGUAGUUUCUUUUCAGAUGACUUGUUUGGGUCAGGAAUUUUCGAGAGAGAGAAAAACUUUUUUCACAUCUCCCCUUUGCAUUAGUGUAAUUAACUGCUUGACAGUAAGGCAUCCACCUAUUUACAAUGUAUUCAUAAAAUCUACAUGCACAUCUUUGAUGACCUUAGAAUCUCAUCAAAACUGGAAUUGACGGUGUGACGUCAAAAUUAUUGAUUUUUGUGGUCUUGAAUACAAGAGUUCCGCAUCAUGGCAGAUAGCGGGAAUUUCAAUUUUUAAUGUUUUAGAAUUAGUACUGAUCUAGGCCGUAUAUCAACAGCAUAGUAUGACAAAUCUUUAUCCUAUCAUUUAUCAUAUAAAAAUUUUUUGGGUUGCCUUUCCUUUUAUGUAUAUGCACACAAUUCGCUUGGGUGAUGGCAGGUCACCUGGUUUGGGCUGGCAUGACUAUGAUAUUCAGUUUCGUUUAAAGAAAGAGCAAAACCCUAGUAUGUCAUUUGCUAGCGUCGAUCAGGAAAUGCUGUUGUUGUAUAUGCAAACCCCUUCAGUAAACCCCCUCCAUACAUGCCAACUUUCCCGAUUUAGGCGGGAUCUUCCCGAUUUUACCCUCCGGUCCCGCUUUCCCGAUCGGGAAAGCAAAAUUACCCUAAAAUCCCGAUUUGAAAUUUUUUCUGACCAAAAUUUCCGAUUUCACGAUUGAAAACGAGUUUGAAAGCGGGAUAAUCGUGAAAUCUCGUGACCAGAAUUGGAAAUCCCACGUCAUUUCUGAACUGGCCAAUCAGAAAUCGGGACAAUAGUCAGCCAUUGCUGUUUACCAGUGUCGCAUGGUGUCGGGUUGGUCUGCCUGUGUUGGGGUGUUUAUUGGACAGUACGAAGCAUGUUUUGAUAGUAAUUAAUCGGGAAGACGGAUUUCAAAUUGACCUAUCCUUUACACAAACGUGAAUGACAACGAUGCUAGUGUCACCACCAAACAAUCGGACAUUCCGCCUCUCGCUGACAGCAUCCAAAAUUUGCAAUAAGAUGUCAUGGGUGCAAAGGUUUUGUUCGCAAACUUCAUAGCAGGGCAGAUCACUCCUUUUUUGGUUGCAAUGCAGAUUAUUCCACCAGUCUCGGCAAGCCCAUGUUUACAGACAAGCAAGAUCGCCUUUGCAGUCGUACCUAAAUGCAUGUGCUUUAAUUUAAAUUUUGAUAUAUAGACCGGCCAAUGUUUAUUGUAUGGUGUAAAAGGAUGCAACCUUAAAUAUUAUUUGAUAUUAUGUAUGUGACUUGUUGGAGAAGAUUUUUUGCUGUUUAGAUGAUUUUAAUAAAAUAUUAAUGCAUAUCUUUCAAAGUUUUUUUUAUAUAGUUAAUGGUCAAACACAUUUGAUGUUGUGUUAAUAUAUGAUACAUUAACAAUGAUUUGAUUGAUAUUUUAUUUGAAAGGACAAAUAUUUAUUUUCAUGCUAAAAUGUCGUGAAUUUUGAGCUUUGAAAAAAGGUCGUCGCGCGCAAAAUCCCCCAUGGGGAUUUUUAAAAGUUGGCAUGUAUGCCCCUCCCCAGUGAUUGAAGAUGAGAUGGCAGGUGGAAGUCAAAAUACAUGCACAAAUACAAAGCCUCUUGGCUUAAUUGUUGUAUGGCUUAUUCAAUAUUUACCCUUUUAUUAGUAUUUUGCGUUUCAUUUGUAAGCAAUUCAAUUGUUUUAUAUAUCAUUGUAGAUCACAUUGUAGGAUCCUCACUACGUACAGUAAAACUUCUCUAAACCGGCCAGCUCUCGGACUGGAAAAAACGGCUAGUUUGGAAGGGUGGCCGGUUAACCGAGAAUUCAGCAUUUAGAGACUUUUUAUCUCAAUAUUCACACAGUAGGUACUGUUCCCUUUCUUCUGGUGAUCUAUGAUCAAUUAUCGGCGGAGAUCAAAUUAGUCCGCUUGUACCUACAGGUAAUUAUACAUGUGUAAUUAAUAAUUAUUAUUCUCACAGAAAUCAUCUAAUUUUAAACUGAAAAUCUAUAACAGGAUUCCGAUACAUAAAGAAAACACAGAGGCAUAUUGGAAUUCCUCUUACUUAUAAAAACUCUGUUUACAUGCAUCGCUUAUAUCAUUAACAAAUUUGUUUUGACGUUUUUGAAAGGAACUGUACUAAAUAUGAAAUAUUAUUUGAAUAUUUUUUAGGAAUUUUAAGUCUAUGGAAACCAAGGAAAUUAAGUUAUCUUUUAAUGAUUAUCAUUAACAGUCAUAGGUUUGUUUUCUUUAUUAACUACCGCUUAUAUCCAUAGGAUAGUAUGGUGAAACAAUAUGGUGUUUGAUACUGUAUUCAUCCAAUAUGUUCCUAACUGUUUUUUUACAUUUUGUACAGAAUUUGGAAGGGUCACUUGGAUUAGCUAAGUGUCAAUUAACACCCUUGACAGCACAGGUAAACAAUAGAAAUUAAAGAGGCCACUGAUGUUUUUCACACCUCUAGUGGAUAAUUUUCCACCUGGUGGUGUCAAUUUGCACACCUGGACAAUCUUGAUCACCCUCUGGCCAAAAUUUUCUUGUCUUCAAAAAGUGGCCAGUAUUAUAAGGGUAAAUUACACAUGUUUGUUAACAAAUGUACUUUAAAAAGUGGCUGAUGUCUGGUUUUCAGGGGUGGCCGGUUUUGUAAGAAUUUCUUUGUAAGGAAAUGUUAAAAUUUCUGCCGGGACUUUGAAAAUCGGCCAAUAUUCAGGGAGAACCGGUUUUCUGAGGGGACGGUUUGGAGAAGUUUCACUGUAAUUAAACAUGAUUUUUUUUUUUUGGUUUUUAUUUUGUUUGGCAUGCCUGCUCUUCUUUAUUUUGGCUAAUUACUUAGACACAACGAUUCAGUGUUUUGGAGGGGGGAGGGGGGCCAUGAAAUGGAAGAAAGUCUUCCCCCAGGUAAAAACUUGAAAAUGAAGGAACCACCCCACUACCUACUAAUACAUUGCGGGGGGAUUGACAUUGGGCAAGGGGAUACAGGUGUAAUACUUCGCAAUCCUAUGACAAGAGGCCCAGGGGCCUUAUAGGUCACCUGAGUAUCAUGUAACAACCUUCCAAUGUUUGAAUUAUGUUUGUGUUUAAAUAUAAGAAUUUUACUUUUGGAUGGAAGAAACAUUGAAUAGCUAUGUGAUCAGCCCCGCCUUUGCACCAGAACCCCUGACCCAGGGGCCAUAAAUUUCAGUUUUGAAAGAAGCAUCCUUGAUCAUCAUUAUCAUACUAUUAGUUUGUCUACUUAAUACCCAGCAGCAGAGGAGAAGAUUUUCAAAGAAAUAAAAUGGAUUUUCACUAUAUGAUCAAUAGGGCCCCACCCUAAUACCAGAACCCCUGACCCAGGGGCCAUGAAUUUCACAAUUUUGAAAGAGGCAUCCUUGCUCAUCAUAACCAUGCUAUUGGUUUGUCUACUUAAUACCCAAGGACAGAGAAGAAGAUUUUCAAAGAAAUAAUGCAUUUUCACUAUAUGACUUAUAGAGCCCCACCCUAGCACCAGAACCCCUGAUCCAGGGGCCAUGAAUUUCACAAUUUUUAACAAGAGGUACUGUGAGCAAUGCUCACUAAGAAUACCCCCCGCUUACCCCAAUCUCCCAAAGGGUGUUGGUAAUAGGUAUAAACUACCUCUUUUCUGAGUGUUGCUACUUCGAUGUCCAGUGCGCAUGACCUUUGACCUUUUGACCCCAAAAUCGAUAGGGAACAUCUUCAUCCUAUGGGUAGUCCAUAUGUAUGAUAUGGUGACUGUAGGUGGAAAGGAUAACGCUUUAGAGCCCGGAAACCAUAUUGCUACUUCAAUGUCCAGUGCGCGUGACCUUUGACCUUUUGACCCCAAAAUUGAUAGGGAACAUCUUCAUCCCAUGGGUAGUCCAUAUGUUUGAUAUGGUGACUGUAGGUGGAAAGGAUAACGCUUUAGAGUCCGGAAACCAUAUUGCUACUUCAAUGUCCAGUGCGCUUGACCUUUGACCUUUUGACCCCAAAAUCGAUAGGGAACAUCUUCAUCCUAUGGGUAGUCCAUAUGUAUGAUAUGGUGACUGUAGGUGGAAAGGAUAACGAUUUAGAGCCCGGAAACCAUAUUGCUACUUCGAUGUCCAGUGUGCUUGACCUUUGACCUUUUGACCCCAAAAUCGAUAGGGAACAUCUUCAUCCCAUGGGUAGUCCAUAUAUAUGAUAUGGUGACGGUAGGUGGAAAGGAUAAUGCUUUAGAGCCCGGAAACCAUUGCGUCUACAGACGGACGGACGGACAGACGGACAACCCGAUUCCAGUAUACCCCCCACAACUUGUUGCGGGGGGUAUAAAGAGGUAUCCUUGCUCAUCAUUACCAUGCUAUUAGUUUGUCUACUUAAUACCCAGAGACAGAGAAGAAGAUUUUCAAAGAAUUUCUACAUUUUCACUAUAUGACCAAUAGAGCCCCACCCUAACACAAGAACCCCUGCCCCAGGGGCCAUGAAUUUCACAAUUUUGGUAGAGGGCUCAACGCUCAUUAUAAUUAUGCCCACAGUUUGGCUUCUUGAUGUCCAGGAGUAAAGAAGAAGAUUUUUUAAAAUUACACUCAUUUUGAUGGUUUUUGC